rnacentral:rRNA from 1 species
AUUGAACGCUGGCGGCAGGCCUAACACAUGCAAGUCGAACGGUAACAGGAAACAGCUUGCUGUUUCGCUGACGAGUGGCGGACGGGUGAGUCAUGUCUGGGAAACUGCCUGAUGGAGGGGGAUAGCUACUGGAAACGGUAGCUAAUACCGCAUAACGUCGCAAGACCAAAGAGGGGGACCUUCGGGCCUCUUGCCAUCGGAUGUGCCCAGAUGGGAUUAGCUAGUAGGUGGGGUAACGGCUCACCUAGGCGACGAUCCCUAGCUGGUCUGAGAGGAUGACCAGCCACACUGGAACUGAGACACGGUCCAGACUCCUACGGGAGGCAGCAGUGGGGAAUAUUGCACAAUGGGCGCAAGCCUGAUGCAGCCAUGCCGCGUGUAUGAAGAAGGCCUUCGGGUUGUAAAGUACUUUCAGCGGGGAGGAAGGGAGUAAAGUUAAUACCUUUACUCAUUGACGUUACCCGCAGAAGAAGCACCGGCUAACUCCGUG